GAUGAAGAACGCAGUGAAAUGCGAUAAGUAGUGUGAAUUGCAGAAUUCAGUGAAUCAUCGAAUCUUUGAACGCACAUUGCGCCCUUUGGUAUUCCUUAGGGCAUGCCUGUUCGAGCGUCAUUUAAACCUUCAAGCUCAGCUUGGUGUUGGGUGACUGUCCGCUUCACCGCGGACUCGCCUCAAAAUUAUUGGCGGCCGGUACAUUGGCUUCGAGCGCAGCAGAAACGCGAACUCGGGCCCGUCGUAUUGGCUCCCAGAAGCUAUCUUCACAAUUUUGACCUCGGAUCAGGUAGGGAUACCCGCUGAACUUAAGCAUAUCAAUAAGCGGAGGA
rnacentral:misc_RNA from 1 species